AUUCACCCAACACAAUGAGGCCUACAAGCAAGGCGAGCAAGGAAGGGACGGCCACACUCCUGAUGUCGUGACUGGCCAAGUACCAGGACUUGGGCCCUCGUCCCCCCCCUCUUGACCUCUGGGGGUCUUCUCGGUCCACCCUCACAAGAUCCCCCCGCAAAGCAGUGGAAAAGCGACCACACUACAGAGUCCCGAACCUACC